UCACACAAGACCCGACCCGAAAAGCGCCACUCCUACACCUGCCCGACCCGGUUCAUACUCAAUCAGUCAAUCUGUUCUUCUUCCUAGCCGCUGCUGCGAUGACUGAAGACAGCGCUCAACCUCCGGCCUUUUCACGAUCGAUGUGCUCCGCCAGGCCGGUCUUCUUCGCUGGCUGCUUUCCGCCGUCGCCUGACACAUCUUGGUUCGGGGCACUCCUUUCCUCCACCGCAGUGGAUGGCUGUGCUGCUCUCCGCAGACUCCCUUCUGUCAAUGAUCGGAGGUAGAUCCGACGGUUCGUUGCUGCUGCAUACUUGGACUAGAAAAUUUUGAUUUCAAAUUAGCAGGUUAAUUACUAUGGGAAACUUGAAUGGUUUUUUCUUCAAGCCUAAAACUAAAAUCUAAUAACUGGAUAUUAAUUGUUUUGUUCACUAGGCAGGAGCAUAUUCAUAUAGUAUUUGCUAUUUAGAUAAAUUAAACAAGGAGUACACAAGAAAGGCACAAAUUUGAGAGUAUAAACUUUUGUAUGCAUUUGAUUUGAUUGUAUUUGUACACAUAUAUAUAUACACAUAUGGUAGAUCAAAAUUGGUAUUCUGAAGAUAGUGUGUAUUCUAUUGGGAUAAUAUGUUCAAAAGGGAUGUUCUAGUCUUAAUCAUGCGCCUAAAUAAGUUCUCCAAACCACUCUCAAUGCUUUCAAUAGCAAUCUCCAAAGCCUCUAAUUGUUCAUUGGAAGCUUGAAUCUGGGAGCCUUUAGCACCUUCAUUUAAGAGGGUGUUCAAAGCUGCAUCCACCAAUUGCCACUCAUUGCCACUCUCUGAGUUCACUUCUCCCUUUUGCAUCAACUUGUUCAUCCAUUUGCUUGCCUUUGACUUUGAAGGACCACCCAAGAAUGAUAGCAGACAUUGGAAGACACACUUGUUCAUUUCUAUCACUUCGCUUAGAAUGCUAAGAUCUUGAUGCUGAUUUAAGAUUACAUAUUUGCUUUGUAGGUGCUUCAAAGAUGUGAUCAACUUGUUGACAUUCUUCCUCAUCUUCUUUGAGGAGGAAUUGUAUUCGGCUAUGCUCUUUUCAAUGCAUGAGUCUCCCUUUCUUCUUCUAAGAGAUGAAUGAA
rnacentral:lncRNA from 1 species